CCCAUGUAUAAUACGCAGCUGUUAGAAAUGCUUAGAAUCAAAUAAUCAUAGAAUUCAAAGGAGCUUAAAAACAUGACCAAUUGCCCAAGCAAUGUAGAAAUCCCUUUGUUCUGUUCAGUCUCUGCCUGCACACUCCCAGUGACAGGAAAAUGAUUGCUUCAUAAGACAGGCGGAUCCAUUUUUUUGGUAUUUCUAAUUGAAAGAAACCCCUUCCCUGGUUUCCUGCAACAUCCACCAAUUGUUCCUGGCUGCGGAUUCUGGACCUGCUCAAAACAAUCUGUUCUCUGCUAUGUACUUCUCCUUUACAUCACUAAAGAUAAUUCUUUCAAUCUCUUUGUUCUAAAUCCCUCAGUGGUUUGCAACUGUGAUUGAAGCAUCCUUCAUCAGCCUGGGUCAUCUCCGGACAGGCUCCAGUUUGACAAUAUUCUCCAGAUGUUAGUGCCACAAAAAUUGCAAAAUGAAGAUGACAGGCUUUAAAAUACAGUUUGGCAAGUUGAAAAGCAGCUCUAAUGAUGAUGAAGAAACUGACGUGAAAGUGCUCAGAAGAGUUUGAAAACAAU
rnacentral:lncRNA from 1 species